GGAUGAAUAUGAUGAAAGUUAUAGAAGGUAUUGAUGAAAUUUCUUCAUUUGAUUUAUAAUAGCCUUUGCUACGUUCUUUCUGAUUCGUUC